rnacentral:lncRNA from 1 species
AAAAAGUAAUAUAUGUUUGCUAGUGGGAAACUAAUGAUAUCCGCCAUGGUAUGCACGAUGGUGCUGACUUUGUUCAGUAACCUAGUUCCAUUGAUGAUGGGAUAUAAGACGAUAGGCACUGAAACUGCAAUCAUCUUGUUCGGUAACCUAGUUCUUCCAUUGAUGAUGGGAUAUACGACGAUAGGCACUGAAACUGCAAUCAUGUUCGGUAACCUAGUUCUUCCAUUGAUGAUGGGAUAUAAGACAAUAGACACUGAAACCGCAAUCGUCGAUUCUGAACUGUACCUCUGUAUACUUUAUUCUUAUUGUUUACGCAUCCCUUAAAAAUUUAUUAUUUGUAUGAAUUUUUGCUCGGGCGUCGGA